rnacentral:rRNA from 1 species
UUGACAUCCAGCGAACUUGGCAGAGAUGCCUUGGUGCCUUCGGGAACGCUGAGACAGGUGCUGCAUGGCUGUCGUCAGCUCGUGUUGUGAAAUGUUGGGUUAAGUCCGCAACGAGCGCAACCCUUAUCCUUUGUUGCCAGCGAUUCGGUCGGGAACUCAAAGGAGACUGCCGGUGAUAAACCGGAGGAAGGUGGGGAUGACGUCAAGUCAUCAUGGCCCUUACGAGUAGGGCUACACACGUGCUACAAUGGCGCAUACAAAGAGAAGCGACCUCGCGAGAGCAAGCGGACCUCAUAAGGUGCGUCGUAGUCCGGAUCGGAGUCUGCAACUCGACUCCGUGAAGUCGGAAUCGCUAGUAAUCGUGGAUCAGAAUGCCACGGUGAAUACGUUCCCGGGCCUUGUACACACCGCCCGUCACACCAUGGGAGUGGGUUGCAAAAGAAGUAGGUAGCUUAACCCUCGGGAGGGCGUUUACCACUUUGUGAUUCAUGACUGGGGUGAAGUCGUAACAAGGUAAGCGUAGCGAG